rnacentral:rRNA from 1 species
AUUGAACGCUGGCGGCAGGCCUAACACAUGCAAGUCGAACGAGUGGCGGACGGGUGAGUAAUGUCUGGGAAACUGCCUGAUGGAGGGGGAUAACUACUGGAAACGGUAGCUAAUACCGCAUACCAUCGGAUGUGCCCAGCUGGGAUUAGCUAGUAGGUGGGGUAAAGGCUCACUGAGGCGACGAUCCCUAGCUGGUCUGAGAGGUUGACGAGCCACACUGGAAUUGAGACACGGUCCAGCCUCCUACGGGAGGAAGCAGUGGGGAAUAUUGCAAAAUUGGCUCAAGCCUGAUGCAGCCAUGCCGCGUGUAUGAAGAAGGCCUUCGGGUUGUAAAGUACUUUAAGCGGGGAGGCGUUACCCGCAGAAGAAGCACCGGCUAACUCCGUGCCAGCAGCCGCGGUAAUAC